UCUACGGGAGGCAGCAGUGGGGAAUCUUCCGCAAUGGGCGAGAGCCUGACGGAGCAACGCCGCGUGAGUGAAGAAUGCCUUCGGGUUGUAAAACUCUGUCUUCAGGGAAGAAACAAAUGACGGUACCUGAGGAGGAAGCCCCGGCUAACUACGUGCCAGCAGCCGCGGUAAUA
rnacentral:rRNA from 1 species